rnacentral:SRP_RNA from 1 species
GCCAGGCACGGUGGCAUGUGUUUGUAGUCCCAGUUACUUGGGAGGCUGAGGCGGGAGGAUCACUUGAGUCCAGGAGGUCGAGGCUGCAGUGAGCCAUGAUCAUGCCACUACACUCCAGCCUGGGCAACAGAGUGAGACCCUGCCUCAA